UGGAGGACUCGAUUGUGGACCCACAGA
rnacentral:piRNA from 1 species